rnacentral:lncRNA from 10 species
GGAGAAGGUCAGAGAGUGAAUUCCAAGGUGCUACAUUUGUAGCAUGGGGGUGAAGGUGUACAAGGUGUAGCAUUUGUAGCUACCCCGUAUUUCCCACAAGGGUAGCAUGUCCUGCACUCCAUCAGUAGCCAAGGAAGGCCUCCCCAAGGAGGUGACAUUUGAGCAGAGACCAGUGAAAUGAGAAAGUAAGUAAAUGAGGGAGAGCAGCAAGUGCAAAGGCUGUGGGGUGAAAACAAAUGUGGCAUGUUCUAGGACCUGCAAGUAGACCCUCGUGACAGGGAAAGUGAACAGAGAAGAGAGUGCUAGCAGAUGAGGUUGGAUGACUGGGCAGGUAUCUUGAAGGUCAUGCCAAGGAGUCUGCAUUUUAUGCUAGGUGGGAUGGGAAGCCAUGGGAGAGCUUUGAGCAGGGGAGCGACAGGCUCUGAUUAGGUUUGGACUAGGCUCCUUCUGGUUGCAGGGUAGAGACCAGAAUCGAGGAAGAUCGGAGUGGAAGAAAAUGGAGCUGGUGUCUCAGUGAAGACAUGCCCAGAGAUGCCCAAAGAUGCCCAAUGGAUGAGCUGCUGCAACCUGUCUCAGCCAUGGGGGAUGGGAGAGGAAAGUGGAGAAAGGACAAAAAAAAAAAAAAACGAGUAGAGAGAAAAGAAGUGAAUAUGUAAUGCAAAAAUUAAAAUUACCUGAUAAGUCAGGACAUGGGAAGUUCUGCCUCCCUAAUGGGGACCCAGGAAGAUGUAGGAAGAGAAGUAAAGCCACUUUCUAAGGACAUGGAGAAAUUCAGAACACCAAGCCGCCCAGGUUUCCUGGCUCCCAGUCUUGGCACACAGUGCUCCACCUUGCUGGGUAAUUCAGGGCCCUGGAGUGACUUUCUUUGAAGCUGGUGUCCACUCACUCUUUCUCUCCAGAGCUUUGGCCAGCUAGCCCCAGAAAUCUUCCAGUGGCCCAUCAGAGAGCAAGCUGGCAGAGCUGUCACUCCCGCCAUGGAAGUCAGUUUGUCCAGGCUGCUAAGGAAGACGUCUUCAAGAAGGAGGAUGCCUGUCUUGACCGCAUGGUCAACAAAAGAAAAUGACCAGGCAUGAAUGUAGUUAUUCUAGCACUCUCUAUUUCCUAAGGACCCACAAAAGGAAACAGAAUAGAGUCCAUGAAGACUGUCUGAGGAGUUCAUCUACUGACAGUCUAUCUCCAGUCCACUGAAACACAUAAAACAUUCUACUGUGGAAAUCAGAAAAAGCAAGAUUAUCUUAGGAGAAACACAAUCUCUCGUCUUAAAGAUGAAAGGACUGCACCUUGAGAGGCCCUUCCUGUUGAGUUGUCAUCUGAACAAAUCAGAGUGGUGGUUGAGGACACCAGAUGUAUUAUUUCCUGCCACAGCAAAUUGGAGGGCUCGCACUGUUCCACCGCCAUCAACUUAGGAAGCAAUUGAAUUUGUUGAUUAUCUUUGCAAGAGGGAGAAGCUUAGCAUCAAUGAAGACAUUGGUAUUUGGAUAGAGGACUUCAUCAACAAGGUUCUUUCAUCUUCCUUAGUUGUUUGGAUCCUUAAGCCUGCCUUGAAAGAAGAGGGAGAAGGCUUCAGGGGAAAUGCUCCCCGCGCUGACCCACAGGAUGGCUUCCUUCAACAAAUGCAGCCACCUUUGAUUGGCUGCCUGCUACAAGAGAAACAUCAGGAGGUACGUAUUGCCAUGGGGGGAACUGAAGAUGGAGGACCCCUCAUUUGUGGAAUUGGGAACGGGCUUUGGGUCACAUGAGGCUCAUCCCUGAUGAGCUAGAACGUGGAAGUUACCUGAAUCCAGAAACCGAUAUUAGGCUCUGUAAUGGACAUGCAGAGGAAGAAGGACCUGUUGCCACGUCUACAGAGGGGUCAGGAAAGACACACUUGGAAUGACCCUAAGAAACCAUGGGCAAGUCUCCAUUUUUUUCCCUCAGCCAAAUCUGUAUGCACUGGUACAGCCAUACCAAUUAUUAAAAUAUUGAAAAACUUCUGUGUCCCUUGGGAAACAGCCACUACCAUGAGCCCCACUACUGCCCUUCUCUCCUGGCAUGUUCAGACCUCCCUGAGUCCAGCAAUGAAAGGGUUAACACUUGCCCCAGCAGAGGGCCUCUGGGAGCCAGCUCCUGCCUUCAGAGCUGUCUGUUAAGACUGGUCUAGGACUAGAUUCAUUCUUACUGUUUUUAAAUAGCUUGAAUGUCACCUCCAGAUGAAGCUCCCCAAACGGAAUGAGACAUCUAAAUAGAGCCACAUGGGGUCCAUCUGGGGUGGCUCCCCAGAGGACAAAUUUUGCAAAGGAAAUCUGAUGGGGUAAGAGAUGCAAUUUAGUGGCUAGGAGAGUGAGGG